AGAUUUAAAAAAACCCAGAAAAUUUAAAACAAAAUGAGAAAUUUCUGUGAAAAUUUACAUUUUGGUCAAAAAAGUUUUGACACCUUUCUCCUCUUUCCCGUUCUAUGGAACACUCUGUGUAUCCAGCCAAAGUGGGGAGGCCUCUGACAAGCUCCCCCCCAGCUCCCUGUAAAUUGUUCAUUACGGCUUGUAUUUGCCAACUGUCAAAGGAGCUUUAGACGCUUCUUCCAUUCCUGUUAAUGGAUGGGGAGUGACUGAAUCCCCUAGACUACUUUGCAAAUUUUAACCUCUGUAUUUAGAAGGGGUUAAACCCCCACUCUGGGCUUUGGAAAAUGUAACACUGGAUGGAGAUCUGGCAGCUGGUCUUUGCACAGCGUGUAUGCUCUAAAAUAAGAAAAGUUGCUCACUACUUUGUUUUUUAUAAAGGAUCUGAGUUUGGCUCCACCUCGGCCGUAGCCCCAUCUCCGUGAGAGCAAUUUGGGAGCCCCCUGUUCUGCCUAGAAGCUAUCCUGCUGGCAGAAAUCAACAUCCACCUAGCAGUAUUGGAUGCCUGUGGAUAGCGGGGAGUUUGCAGAGUGAGAGCAGAUGGCCACUACAUGCACAUCAUGCUUGCUAUAUGCCUGGUGUUUUCACCUGCCCACUCUAGUCUCUGCAGGUGUGCAAAGGAGGGGAAAUUCAGGGAAAUGUGGAUUGUCAUCAGAAGUCAGCUGGUUCUUGAAGGGAUGCACUCUAGCAAAAUGUAACCCCCAAAUUUAGGUUUUGUAAAUAAAAUUCCUACAAGAUUUAAGGCCCACUGGAAUGUUCCCCCUAGAUGUAUGUGAACUUCUUUAAUGUCUAUGGAAAGAUUUCUGAUGCUCCUCUGCAGAGUUCCCUCCCUGACCAUUUCUGCUGGGAACGUGCAGAGCGCUGCAGAUGGACUAGCUGGUAUUUCCAUGGGCCAGGCAGAGAGUGGCGCAAUCGAGCGAACACCAAGCAUGUCAGGGGAAAAGUUAGUUCAGUUUCUGGUACAUUCACCUUUAAUCAUCAGAGCUGGGGUUUGUAACGUAGCCAAAGGAGCUUGUUUCCUAAGAAUGAGCUUUAACCCCCAUGGCAUCCCAGGGAGACCCAGCUCGCAGAGCCCCGAAAACCUUUCCAGAGCGUCACAGCACCCAGCAUGAGGAAAUGUGAACACAGCGCUGGCAAAGUCUCCUAAUCCUGGUGGUGUGAUCUGGCUUUUUAGUGAUGUCCCUUUACCAGGAGAACUCCAGGAGCCGAAUGCCUGGUACUUCUAGAGAGCUUUGGCCAGCAAGAGAAAACAGCAGUGUCUGAGUUCAGCUAGCCUUGAUCUCACGGCUGAUCGGUUAUUCCUGGGCACUACACUCAGAUCCAGCUCUGAGCUUGCUGACAGUCGCUCAUCUUGGAUCCAUUUCUCUCACUAACCACCCCUCCUGCUCCCUCUGUCCCCUCUAUCCCUGUGGGAAAAAUUGUCCAUUUGGCAUAGUAAAAAAGCAGAUCCAACUGUGUUUUAAAGUCUCUUCCCCGCAUCACCUGUUUCUGGUGCUUCCAUUAGCCCUGCACCAAGAAAUGUGACCAGCUCUUGAAAUUUGACAAAGUAGCAGCUGUUUUUUGCUGUGGGAGGGGUCACUAAUACCAUUCUUUUCCCCCCAAGUUCUCUCCUCUGUCAGUCCUAUGCCUCCUUUUCUCUGCGUUAUGGGCACAGAACUGCCCCAAAUUCUCCACUCCAUUAUUGUCCAGUAUAAAACACCUGUGGGGGGUGUCUUUAGCAUAGACAAUGUUGAGUUACUUCCAGCAGUAGGGAUAUGGAGGGAAAGAAUCGAACAAAGUCGGCAUGGUCUGAGGUCAUUGCUCACUUUGGCAUUAGCCUGUUGAGAGGGAAAGUACCGAAAUGAGUUAAAGCUUCUAAGAGCAAGAGGGCAGUGCAUGGAGACACUGGCUUCCUGGUCCUGCAACUGGAUGUUGACCUUGGAUCAUUUGGCCUAAAUUUGAGGACAUGCUGGUUUUGUGCCUUCAGUCCUCUGAAGGUUUUUUAAUCUCAGAUUUAGUUUAUUAGAUUGACAUAGAUUCCGUGGGUUUUUACCUGCUAUAGAUGAGCUCUGACCUAGUUUAGUUAAGAGCAGGUCACUGGGCCCAUGUGAUAAGGUCCUGAAGGUGUGUCCUGCCAGUGCUAUGGGUGCAGUGCAUUAGACAUGCCUUGGACACCACAAAGGCAUCUUUUUUUCUUGUGGCGUUGGCUGAAAGAAGCCACCACUAGAGCAAAUGUUUGUCUCUUAGUGUUUAUUUGGUGUAACGCUGAGGCCAGCUUGGGGGUGUGGAGCUGUUGAAAGAAGAGGUUCAGAGGCAUUUUAUCUGGUUUGCUCCUCUUCCAGAGGAUGAGCUUUAGAAGGAGGGGCUGGAGCACAGCCAAAACCUUUUGCCUGCACACCCUGCAACAGCGCCUCACUGCCACCCUCCCCUUUGGCUGGGGAUCCUAAAGAGUAUCCUGGUGCUCAAGCAUCCUCCUUCACUAUGGUCUCUCUCACACACACACACGUGCACCUGGAGGAUGCGUGGGUGGCCAGGCACAAAUGGAGUGUGGAGACUGUGGGUCACGAAUGCUGAGAUGUGAACUCUUGCUCCUUGUCCUCAUAACCCCACAGUCCCUGCCAGUAAGUUUCAGAGAGCAAAAUUCCUCCCCAGUUCCUGCCUGAGUUGCCCUUGUGAGGCAACAGUAUCCAAGUAACUGCCCAGUUGUAAUCCCAGCUUGGCUGAUGUUGCUUUUCAAGCUUAACAGUCACUUCAUUCGGCCUCUCCAGAGGGUGAGGGCACGGAGGCAGGUGCUUGUGCCCACAUCCACACUCUGCAUCACUUCACUUCACCAUGGUGCCCUGAGUGGGUUGUCAGCAGCGGGAAUUGAACCUGGGCCCUUCGGCGCUUGAAGUGCAAGCCUCUGCUGCCUGAGCUACAAGCCUCCACUCUGCCCGCCAAAGCUAUAGCAGGCUCAUCCGCUUCUCUGUGUGCCUCAGCCACCAGAACAGGGGACGGAGCUGCCACACAGGCUGUUCUACACGUCAGCCGCCAGCUGCUUCCCGAGAGGCUUUGCGCUCCGUGCGCCGAUCCCCGGGUAACGCUGUGGUGGAAUGGGAACCCUGCAGUCAGGCUGUGCUGCUCACAGGAGUCGACCACCAGCCUUGGCUCAGGAACCCGGCAUCCCUGAGCAGCUCAACGUUUGGUUUUAGAAUGGAAAAGAGAGAAUCUCGUUCUCCCCAGAAUGACAUUAGCAGGGUCACUGCAUCUGGCUCCCAUGGCUCCCUCCCCGUCAGGAGUUAGCUGUGCUUUCCACGGGUUUCCACAGCAGAACCACUGAAGUGACUCUGGUGCCCCAGUGCCGUUGGCUGUUGAAAACCCUGCCCAGAGAGAGAGAGAACAAAAGAGUGUGGGGUUCAGGCUGAUUGUACGGAGCGCAGCCGCCCGCUCACAGCUGGAUCCCAGCUGCAGGUGGCAGAUGCUAACCCCCAAUGUACCAGUGUGCAGCUCAUAGCCAAUUGCAGUGAUUUUGAAUACUAGUAAAGCCCAGGGGCCUGCAUCCCUCCCAUGCUGCGCCAUUGACUUUCAACGGCAGUGGGAUCGGAACCCCAUCCAGCUCCUGAACUAGGGCCUGAUCCUGCAGGGAGGUUCCAAGCCCCUUCAAUGGGUGCUCAGCACCUCUCUGAGUUCCUGAGGGGAAUAGAGAAAUGGCAGGUGGAGCAGAGCGCUAGUGUGCCAGAAAUCCAGGUGAGGUACCUCGAUAGUGAGCUGAACCAUGCCUUGAAUGUGCAGCAGGCCCGAGAGCUAGUGACUAAACCCUAAUAAUUAUCCAACCCUGACUGUCCUCACCCCAAGCAGUGUCCUUGCAGAAGGCCUGUGCCCCACUGUCAUAUGCAACCCUCUUUCGUUGACCCAGCCGGCCCUCCUGCAGUCAAGCAUGCAGAGAAUGUGUGCAAACAUUUACUGAGUGGCCCGUGGGUCCCAGCCCACUGGUGCACUUGGGAUUCGGCUUUUAGGUAGACUUGGCCCUGCCUCAGUGUGUGGGGAGGAGGAGUGACCUCUUGAGAGUCCUUCUGGGCCAAGGUUUCUGUGAUUCUGAUGCAUCGCACAGUCAUUCCGUUCCAAAACCAAAUCUGCACCGUGCCACCAGUGUUUGCUCUCAAGGGAGAGCAGUGACCCAGAGCUAGGGCUCUAGAGUGGAGCGUAUAGGCCCUCGGAUGGGGUGACAUGAUCUUUUCUCCUGGCAGAGGCUUGGUCUCCAGAUGGGUUUCCCUUGCCCACAUGGUGGUAUGUGGAAAAUGCGUGAGCCAGAUGUGGUGAAAUGGACUAAUUUGGAGCAAGCGAGGUGGGAGAGGCACUUUUUGUUGGGGCCCUAGUUGCUUUUCAGCCUUUCUAGACUAUCCCACAUGGGUUGGGCAUCACCCCCUCCUGGGGGUCUCUCAGUGUCUCUUCCUGUGCUUUCAACCACCUGUUUCUCAUCUGACGCUGAUUCUGUUUCAGCCAAGCAUCUGUUGUCCUGGUUGGGGAAAAUACUCCUUCCACCUGUCGUCUUCGAAUCAGCCACAUGGCAGCUGUGGUCAGAGAGCCGCCUGCCUUGGGUAGCGGGAAGGUAGUUUCUAGUCUUGUUGAGCGGUUGCCUGGAGGAGAAGGCACUAGCUUGAAGGGGGCAUCAUGCUUGAGUGUCUACUGGCAUGAUGCAGCCUCUUGGUGCUGCGCCAUUAGCAGCAUCCAUCCCCAUUCUGUCCCGUUGCACCCACUGAGCUGCCCGUGGGCCCUGCAUGUCAGGAGGGACACUGACUGAUUUCCCCUGGGGAGCUUUGAAUGGCACGAAGAUGAGCUGAGAGAGGGAGAGCCAGGAAUCUCCCUCCAUUUAGUGCCAAAUCUUUUUAAAGUCGCUUUGGGAGCCCACCAGCUCAAGCAAGUCUUGUGUCUUUGGGGAGGAGGGAAAGGAAACAAAUGUGGGAAAUAAUUUACCCUGUCUGCAUCUAAGCAUUUCUUUUGGUUGGGGGCAGGGAGCAGAGAAAGCAACACCUGGCAACGUUGACUAAGGACAAUACUUCCAUCGACCUGCGUUUAGUUCAUUGCCUAUGGGAAACUGACCCAUUUUCUAGAGAAGACUCAAACUAGUUUAGAAAAUGAAGUGCUACUUGAUUCCCCUUUAUAUAUUUUUAGUACUUGGGGGCAGGGCAGGGCAAUUGUAGGGGAAAAGCCUGUGGAAGCUGUUUAUUUUUAACCCCUUAGAUGGUUUCUUUUGGCCUUUAAAAAAAAAAAAAAAUGGUCCUGGCUUUUGAUGUUUAUGCUGCCUACCUGUAAAUCCAGAUGUACUUAAGUGGCUGAAAAUCCUUGUUCUUAAAUCAGAUACACAUUAUAGUUUUGAACUAUAUAUAUAGUAUAUAUAUAUAUAUAUGCGCCUAACCCAGCAAAAAAAUAAAGUAUUUGGGGGUGGGGAAAUGCAUUGUUCUUUUGAACGAAUCACAAUUGGGGGAUAAAAUUGUGUUUCCGAGUGCCUCAAGAUAUGAAUUGUUUUCAUUUUUUUAAAAUAAUUUUAUACAAGUGUCAAAACAGCUGGCUGGAUUAUUUGGAAUUUUGAAAUAAUCCUAACUUUUUUAAAGUAGAUUUUGAGAACUGUCCUGUAUAUACCAGUAAUGUAGCAAUAAACGUGACAUUUUAUAACAAUAUUACUCCCCCCCCGAUAUCUGUCUCUCAGAUGUUGUAUUCCUACCAAUGAAAAGUUGUAAUAAAGGUUUUACCUUGUACUAAAACC